rnacentral:ncRNA from 2 species
CAUGUCGAGAAGCGUUGCGACCAGGAAUUCCCUCCUGGCCAGGCUCGACCUGAUCAGAACGAAACGACGCUUGCAUCCC